AGGACGAACGCUGGCGGCGUGCUUAACACAUGCAAGUGGAGCGACGAACCAGGGCUUGCCCUGGGGCAGAGCCGCGAACGGGUGAGUAACACGUGGGUUACCUACCCCGAUGACCGGGACAACCCGAGGAAACUCGGGCUAAUACCGGAUGUGGUCUUCGGACGAAAGGAAGCUUCGGCCUCCGCAUCGGGAUGGGCCCGCGGCGCAUUAGCUUU
rnacentral:rRNA from 1 species